rnacentral:rRNA from 1 species
AUACGAAAGGGGCAAGCGUUAUUCGGAAUCACUGGGCUUAAAGCGUACGCAGGCGGAUGCGCAGGCAUCUUGUGAAAUCCCUCCGCUCAACGGAGGAACUGCAGGGUGAACCGCGUGUCUUGAGACAGACAGGGGUCGUCGGAACGAUAGGUGGAGUGGUGAAAUGCGUUGAUAUCUAUCGGAACGCCAAAGGAGAAGUCAGGCGACUGGGUCUGUUCUGACGCUGAGGUACGAAAGCGUGGGUAGCGAACGGGAUUAGAUACCCCAGUAGUCC